UACGUAGGUGGCGAGCGUUGUCCGGAUUUACUGGGCGUAAAGGGAGCGUAGGCGGACUUUUAAGUGAGAUGUGAAAUACCCGGGCUCAACUUGGGUGCUGCAUUUCAAACUGGAAGUCUAGAGUGCAGGAGAGGAGAAUGGAAUUCCUAGUGUAGCGGUGAAAUGCGUAGAGAUUAGGAAGAACACCAGUGGCGAAGGCGAUUCUCUGGACUGUAAUUGACGCUGAGGCUCGAAAGCGUGGGGAGUAAACAGGAUUAGAUACCCGGGUAGU
rnacentral:rRNA from 1 species